AAAGUUUAAAGGAAUUAGGGGUUUUUGUGCCCCGUUCGUCAUUUGACUGAUCGAUCGGACAAAGGGGAAAUGAACGAAAGCAGACGAACGGAGAGAGGGAAGCACGAAGGCUUGCAGGCUUGAUGUUUCAUCGAUCGGUCGCGAGAAGGAUCGUCUCCGAGGGUCGAUGAGGCCGAAGGGACGGAAGGGUGAAGCAGCGAGGCUGAUGUGGAGUUGGCGAAAGGAAGUGGAAAUGAGGUGGAAGAGAACAAUGCGAGGGGAGAUGCGAGGGACAAAGGAGGUCCGAUGGGAGUCCGGUCGACAACAAUACGUCGCAGGUGAGGGCUUCGGUGGGUUUUGCUCGACCGGAGGAGGUGUGGGAUGCGAUGGGGAAAACGAUCAACAACAGCACCGCAGAUGGUAGGAUUUGGCAGUGAAGGUUGACGGGAAAGGAGGGAUGGAGGGGAUAGCCGAUCUCCGGCGACUCCCUUCCGCUGUUUCCUCUUCUUUUUGCCGGCAGUGGAGUGGUGCAGCAACAGCAGUGGUCGAAGGGGUUUUGGCUUGGUAUUGUUCGAUAAUCACAGGUUUUCCUUUUUUUUUUUUUUUUUGAUAAUUCCGAUAAAAAAUGUUCAAGAGGAAUAGAAACAUUUUUUGUUUGUUGUUUGACAGGAGAAAGAACGAAGACAUCAGUGGGUUUUUUUUUUUUUUUUUUUUGAUUUGUUGUGAUCGACGAGAAGGGAGGAAAAGAAACGAGGCGGUUCUUGUUUGCAGGGAGUCAGGAGAACAAAAACAAAAGUGUUCUUGACUGGUAAUGGAGAUGCAGGUAGAAAAUAAAGAAUCAUUAAAUUUUCAGUUUAGAUUUCCAUUGUUGGUGGUUGUUUGUGAAUCUAGCAUUUGUGAUCAUUUGUUGAUUUUUAUCAUUGUACAUGGUGUAGGUUAUGUUUGAGUGUGGUCUUGGUUGAAGGAAGAGUGAGCAAGCUUGAGAAAGGCCUACAUAUUUCUUUUGUGUGUAAUUUUAGAUGUUUAAGAAUUAAUAGCUGUCAUUUACGUAUAAUAUGUGUAUUUUGUGUGAAAUUUGUAAAUAAUCAAUUUUCCCAAGUAUUAUGUGUAUGCAUUGAUAUAUUAAUUUAAUUAGGCAUUUAAUUUCUGUAUUAUUGAAAAUUAGAUGGUAGAGAAAAUGAUAAAAUUUAUGUAAAAAUAAUAUGCAAUAACAUAUGGUUGAAUAUUUGUGUCAAAGUUUAUAAUUUAUGGUAUCAAAAUG
rnacentral:lncRNA from 1 species